ensembl:lncRNA
GUCUCACACGCAGUAUGUCACACCAUCUGUGAGCUAUGACCAGAUAAUGCUACUGCUUCUGCAAAGGCCUCAGAAUCAGUCACACAAUUGUCUGCAACUCCGAACAGCAGCUGCAAGAUCACAACUGUGCACAGUAGUCCCGCCCCAUAGACUGUUGCGGUUACUUAGCCCAAAUCCAUCAACAGAAAAUGUGGAGGGCAUAUGGGAAGAGAGAGAGCUGUGUGUGCUGUGGACCUCCCAGAUGGCUGCCAGCCCCACAGAGAGUGAGGCAGCAGUCCCAACCAGUGGAACACUCUUAAGAGCUGUAAGAAGAAAGUUUUAAGAGGGAAGUUCAUGUUCAAGCUAUCCUGCAAGCUCCACAGAGGAUGUCAAAACCUGCUGAUAUCUAGCAGAGUCAACUCCAAGUUUGUGUAUCCUGGUCCACUCUACCUUUCCAUCAGGCAGUACAUGUGGAAAUGGAAAAGUAGCUCUCUAAUUAAUCAAAGUCAGAUCUGCCUGAACGCCUGGAGUUGCUGCUGAUCCUUGUCCCAGCUUCUACCAUGUUCUCUCUCUAUGUUUUUUACCUUGAAAACUUCUGCUCUGAGCUGGGAAUGCCUGAAGGGCUUGCACGGAGUAAUUUCAAAGGAGCUGUUAACACUUUCAUGUCUGAAACUUUCUUACUAGCAAGAGGGAGAACUGAAGGAAUGAGAUUCAAAGACAAUUCAGUGCAGCUGUAAGUCUGACAACACUGCUGAUACAGUUUAAUUGAGGACUAAUUGGAACUAAGAGGGCUAGUUAUUUUGUCAACUGCACGUAUAUUAGUUCCAGUCAUUUUUAAUCCGAUGUAACGGUGAUAAAGAGUCUAACUUACUUUGUUUAGUUAAUAACAUUAGGCCAGAAAGAAUCACCUAGUCAUUUCAUGUUACUCGAUACACUGCUAAUAUAAACAAUGUCUAAUUACACUGACGACAUACUUCCAUGAAAUGACCAAUUAGAACAUUUACUCAUUCUAAAUGUAUGCUAUUAGAUACAUUUCCACAGGCUUUCUGGUAUUAAUAAAUUAGACAUCAGCUAGUAGGAAGUGUAAGAACAGAAUAUGCGGGAGAAAAAGUUCUUUUUAAAUAGGACAAAGAAUAUUUCAGUAUGCAGAUACAGUAUACUAGGGGCUGUUACCUCCCAUAAAGGUUCUCCCCCAACACCUUGCCCCCACCAAAUUUUACAAAUGAAAAGAAACUUAUUCUCUGGGAGCAUGAAAUUUUGCAAAUUUGUAUACUCUUCUUGCUGAAUCAAGAAGCUCAUACCACGUCUUCAAGAUGCAGGAUAAAGGAGGCAUGUGUUAGCAUUUUAAUAUUUAGACCCACAAACCUACAGCGAUUUGCGUUCAAUUUCAAAACUGAUUUAUUGGCUGUGAUGUGCAGUCAGUAUGAAUAAUACAGAAGUGUCUCUUAUUUAUUUUAUUUAUUUUACUUUACUUAUGUGUCAAUAGCUUCCACCAGAAAAUAUCAGUCCAGCAUGUAACAACAUCUUACAGAGUGACACAAUCUGAUAACAAAAUCAAAACAGAAAAAUAUAAUGAGAACAAUCUCAUCCUCAUCUGAAGAAAAAAUGCUGAUUGUUCAAAACUGCUAUUUUAAUGAUUGAAUGGCUAUCCCUUAUGUAAUCAUGCUGAAAAUUUUGCCGGUUAGUUAAAGUAAAUAACAGCGCACCAGUAUGUGCAUUACCAAAUCAAACUAGCAUAAAGUAUUAGAAAUACUGGAAAAAAUGAGACAGCUAUUUGUGCAACUUAGAUAAAAGAAAGGCAUUUAGAAUAAAUGCAUGAAGUACAUCAAAACAAAAAAAAAAAAAAAAAGAAGAAGAAACUGAAAAAUGAUCUGAAAUCAUUGAUAUUAAUAGUUACUGCACAGAUGCCUAAAAUACUUGACUGCUACACAUGUCGACAUGAGGUAAGAUCUCCAUCCUUCUCCCGCUUAAAUGAGUACAAAUGUUGGCACUUAAUUGAGUGGGUUAUGGUCAGGUGUUUUUCCUACCCCUGCUAGCUGAUGUCCUAAACAUUACCAUUCUACUUAAAUGAAAGCUUUUCUUGGAAUAAAAGGCCACAUGAUGACAUACAGAUCUGACCACUAGGAAUUCCUUGAGAGAAAUAAAAUGUAACUUAAAAGCUACAGCAUGUGAAUAAUUACCAUUUGCUAAAAGUAAGAUUAACAAAUGUUCUUUUAAGUCAAUUGGUAUAUUCUAAAUGUGCCCUACGUUGUCUUAUCCAGGAUAUUUAAAAAUAAACUAUAUGAUAAACUUUGUCUUACUGUGUUUAGGUUAAUAAAAGAGAGUAAUUAAAAGACUCUUACAUUUUCUUCUAAGAGCUAGAAAUUAUUAAACUGUACAGAAAAGAAUCCAGGCUUUUAUUUAAAAAAUCAAUUUUUGAGCUGAAUUGCAAUAAAUCAAUAACAAUGCUAUUGUUCAAUAGGUAAUAAUUGUCUUCAUAUAAACUGAAAAUAUUGUUUGGGAUGAUUAAUAUACAAUGCUGCAUUAUGCAUUUGGGAGUGUCGAUGCAUAAUUUUUAGUUCUAAUGUUAUUAUGUAAUUGAGAGAACAUGUUCAUUUGCCCUAAUAACUACUAAGAUGCACUUAAUAAAAUGAAAUGUAAUAAUACUUGUAAUUUAAUCUAUUCAUUGAAGUAAUUUUAAAAGUCUACCAUUCUCUUUAAUGUGGAUAACAUUCAUAAUUUAUAAAGUGUUGUGAUGCAGAAUUGACAAUGCCAUUGUUUUUUACACUUUGAGAUGAUUCUGCAGCCUUCAUUAUCUGCAUACCAACCUCAGGAUUAUCAAGGGCAAACAAAAGAUAAUUAACACCAGAAACAGGCAAAUGCAGGAGCUACUGAGUGAGGUUUCUCGUUUAAUGCAGAACCUUUGAAAACUGGGAAAUUGAAUAAAUACUUAAAACCUUUUUUUUUUUUUUCUUUUUCCACACUGCAGAAAAUGAUUUCAGUAUGUUUUCUCCUCUCCAUUACAAAUGCCAGAUUUUUUUUGCUAUAAAACUAUGUUGACACGUUCAGUAAAUUAUCAUGUUAAGUAUUAUUUCAAAGUACCAACUGUUAAUCCUCUGCAGCGUAUUUUUCUGUGGAAAAGCAGGCAGGGUACUAUGGUAUAGAUAUUCAGAAUCUAUAGUUUCACUUACCCACAACGUGCAUGCCAAUAAGUCACCAUCUAUCCAUGGCUGAUUGGACAGUGCUCUAAGAUAGGGGCAAAAACAUCUCUUGCACUGAUGUGUUUAAUGAUCAAGGUGCAUUUUUAUGUGCUAAAACCUUAUAGGAAAUGAAAUGUGUGGCCAUCUAUGGCACUUUUAUACUCAGAGCAGAGUAGUAAAGGCUUACUAAAUGCUGAUAUAGGUCCAGGACAAUGUAUUUCAGUGGGAAUUCUAGAAACUUACUUUAUGUUGUUGUUCAAGGAAUCUUGACAAUGAUCCUGCACUGCAUUCUAUAAGGUUUGCUAUAUAACUCAUCAUUUCAGAAAUUAAUCAGUGGAGAUUCUCAACAAGGAGAAUCUUUUGAAUACAAGGCAAAGCAUUGUAUCAUUAGACUCUUAUCUGUGAAUGAACAUCCUUCUACAAAUGGUCCAGGCAAAGUCAUUUUACAAAUGGAAAAAUAGGGCAGUGACAUUCAGAGAUUCACACAAUUUGCAGAUGUUGAUGACAGUCUGACUCCCCGCCCCUUACUUACAUAAGAAAUUCUUAUUACAAGGGAAUGUGAUUAUUAGCCUAUGAGCCAUCCAUGAAAGAUUCAGCCAUUUGUGUUUAAAUGGCAUGAUAUAUUACCAUAUAUUACCACUUUUUACACUUUCUAACUGAAAAUACCUGAUAAGUAACUGAUCCUUAAAUUAUAUGCAAACAGAGGAGCUUGCUUUCAGUCCACUGCAGCAGGCUGACAGCGCUGCGUGGGGAUGGGUGUAACAUAUUAAGAUUCCAGCUGCAUGACAACUCAGUAAGACUUGUUCUCUUCCAAGAUAUGGUGCCAGCAAUACCUAUGGCAGGGCCUAUCUUUUAGGGUCAGCCCUCAUUUCUGCUGCCCUAAUGGAGAAGAACCGUUCUCCCCUGCUCCCAAUGCACAGUGAAAGGCGUGAGGAGGUGAAUGUGAGAGCUUUGCUGUGCCCCUGAGAUGACACCAGCAGUGUGGACAGGCCAAGGCCCAGUGCUCUCUUCAUGUACUUUGUUCAGUUCUUAAGACAGUCAAGGUAUUAAAGUGCCUAAAAUCACACAGGCAGCUAUGAUGACUCUCAGGCAUUAAGCUAUCAUUCUUUGCAUCUUUACUACUGGACACCAUCUGCAUAAUUCCGAAG